AUACGAAGGUCCCAAGCGUUAUUCGGAAUCACUGGGCGUAAAGAGUACGUAGGCGGUUUGGUAAGUCAGGUGUGAAAUCCCGAAGCUCAACUUCGGAACUGCAUCCGAUACUGCCAGACUAGAGUAAUGGAGAGGCAGGUGGAAUUCUCGGUGUAGCAGUGAAAUGCGUGGAUAUCGAGAGGAAGACCGAUGGCGAAGGCAGCCUGCUGGACAUUUACUGACGCUGAGGUACGAAGGCUAGGGGAGCGAAAGGGAUUAGAAACCCCGGUAGUCC
rnacentral:rRNA from 1 species